rnacentral:rRNA from 1 species
GUCUAUGGCCAUGCCACCCUGAACAAGCCCGAUCCCGUCUGAUCUCGGAAGCUAAGCGUGGUCUAGCCUGGUUAGUUACUUGGAUGGGAGACCACCUAGGAAGACCAGGUGCUGUAGGUG